CUGGCGGCGGUGCCUUCACUCAUGCAAGUCGAACGAUGAAGCCCUUCGGGGUGGAUUAGUGGCGAACGGGUGAGUAACACGUGGGCAAUCUGCCCUGCACUCUGGGACAAGCCCUGGAAACGGGGUCUAAUACCGGAUAUGACUCGGGAGCGCAUGCUUCCGGGUGGAAAGCUCCGGCGGUGCAGGAUGAGCCCGCGGCCUAUCAGCUUGUUGGUGGGGUGAUGGCCUACCAAGGCGACGACGGGUAGCCGGCCUGAGAGGGCGACCGGCCACACUGGGACUGAGACACGGCCCAGACUCCUACGGGAGGCAGCAGUGGGGAAUAUUGCACAAUGGGCGAAAGCCUGAUGCAGCGACGCCGCGUGAGGGAUGACGGCCUUCGGGUUGUAAACCUCUUUCAGCAGGGAAGAACGCAUGUGACGGUACCUGCAGAAGAAGCACCGGCUAACUACUUGCCAGCAACCGCGGUAAUACGUAGGGUGCGAGCGUUGUCCGGAAUUUAUUUGGCGUAAAGGAGCUCGUAGGCCGGCUUGUCGCGUCCCGAAUGUGAAAAGCCCGGGUCUUAACCCC
rnacentral:rRNA from 1 species